UGGAGACCUCAGGUUUGAAGGGGUUCUGA
rnacentral:piRNA from 2 species